rnacentral:rRNA from 1 species
UACAGAGGGUGCAAGCGUUAAUCGGAAUUACUGGGCGUAAAGCGUGCGUAGACGGUUGCGUAAGUCAGAUGUGAAAGCCCCGGGCUCAACCUGGGAAUUGCAUUUGAGAACUGCGUAGCUAGGGUGCGGAAGAGGGAAGCGGAAUUUCCGGUGUAGCGGUGGAAAUGCGUAGAUAUCUGGAGGAACACCGAUGGCGAAGGCAGCCCCCUGGGCUAACACUGACGCUGAUGCACGAAAGCGUGGGGAGCAAACAGG